GAGGGAGGAGGAAGAGGAGGGAGGAAGAGGAGGGAGGAAGAGCGGGGAGGAAGAGGAGAGAGGAAGAAGAUGGAGGCAGUGGAAAAGGGUUGGAGUGGAAAACGCUGCUCGGACUGCAGAGGAAGUGAAACGCUGUCAAACUCUGACACAGAAACCUGCGGACACUCGACUCCUAAAUUCUCACGCUGCAGUUUCUCUGUGAACGUGAUUAUUUGGAAAGAAAUUGGAAAAUAUUUAUUGUGUGUAAAUAUUCUAAAUAUAUCAGAAUAGAUAGAUGAUGAUAAGUAUUUGAUGCGCUGCGAGGCAACAGAUGUUACUCUUUGUGAAUCCUUUGCUUUUAUUCUUUUUUAUUCCAAUAAUGUUGGUAAUUUAUUUCGUCUGAAUGGUGUAUUUAUUUUUCUAAAUGUAUCGGGGUGCUGCUGACCUUCUAUAUUUUUGUACCAUAAUGCACUUUAGAUAUAUAAAUAUAAAUAUAUAUACCAUUACGUUCUUUGUUGUUGAAUGAAAUGAAGAAAAAACGACGGUCGUCUCUUUGUGUUUUUGUUCAGUUUUUUUUAUUUCUCGCUGCUGAUUUUUCGGAUGUUUUCUGAUAAAAAUGGUUUGUUAUUUUAUUUAGUGUUUGAGUCCCGCUGCCUCUGUUUCCACCAAAUGCUCUGCUUCUCAAACUCUCUGUACACAAACCAAACGGCUCGAUAUGUGUUGGUUUUGGCUCUUGCACUGAGAUAAACACCCUGUACUGAACGGAUUAAACAUUUGACAGAAUCCUC